CGGGGGAGCGCAGGAUCCUGGACUGUGCCCCCUGGUGCCCUGGGAUCCAGGGCCUGCGCUGCUGGAAUCGCGCUCCUGGGGUCGCAGCACCCG
rnacentral:pre_miRNA from 1 species